GAUGAACGCUAGCUACAGGCUUAACACAUGCAAGUCGAGGGACCGGCGCUCGGGUGAGUAACACGUAUCCAACCUUCCCUUUACUCGGGGAUAGCCUUUCGAAAGAAAGAUUAAUACCCGAUAUUAAGGAUGGGGAUGCGUUCGAUUAGGUUGUGGGUGAGGUAACGGCACACCAAGCCUUCGAUGGAUAGGGGUGCUGAGAGGAAGGUACCACAGAUUGGAGCUGAGACACGGACUACAAUCGUACGCGAGGGAGGGGAAAGGAAUAUUAGUGAAUGAGGGGUAGCCUGAACCAGCCAAGUGGGGGAAAGAAUGAAGGCUUAGGGAACGUAAACUUCUUUUAUAUAAGAAUAGGUAUUAAAUGAAUAAGGAUCGGCUAACUACGUGCCAGCAGCCGCGGUAAUAC
rnacentral:rRNA from 1 species